rnacentral:rRNA from 1 species
UACGAAGGGGGCUAGCGUUGUUCGGAAUUACUGGGCGUAAAGGGCGCGUAGGCGGUCCCUCAAGUCAGGCGUGAAAGCCCCGGGCUCAACCUGGGAACCGCGCUUGAGACUGGUGGGCUAGAGUUCGGGAGAGGAUGGUGGAAUUCCCAGUGUAGAGGUGAAAUUCGUAGAUAUUGGGAAGAACACCGAUGGCGAAGGCAGCCAUCUGGACCGACACUGACGCUGAGGCGCGAAAGCGUGGGGGGCAAACAGG